rnacentral:rRNA from 1 species
UUUAUCGGAGAGUUUGAUCCUGGCUCAGGACGAACGCUGGCGGCGUGCCUAAUACAUGCAAGUCGAGCGGACAGAUGGGAGCUUGCUCCCUGAUGUUAGCGGCGGACGGGUGAGUAACACGUGGGUAACCUGCCUGUAAGACUGGGAUAACUCCGGGAAACCGGGGCUAAUACCGGAUGCUUGUUUGAACCGCAUGGUUCAAACAUAAAAGGUGGCUUCGGCUACCACUUACAGAUGGACCCGCGGCGCAUUAGCUAGUUGGUGAGGUAAUGGCUCACCAAGGCAACGAUGCGUAGCCGACCUGAGAGGGUGAUCGGCCACACUGGGACUGAGACACGGCCCAGACUCCUACGGGAGGCAGC